rnacentral:ncRNA from 1 species
CACAAAGGCUUGGUCCUGACUUUGCCAUCAGCUUUAGCUAGACUUACACAUGCAAGUAUCCGCAAACCUGUGAGGAUGCCCAGAGCGUUCCCCUAUCGGGAACAAGGAGCCGGUAUCAGGCACGAAAUAUCUCAGCCCACAACACCUUGCUCAGCCACACCCCUAAGGGAAUUCAGCAGUGAUAAAUAUUAAGCCAUAAGUGAAAACUUGACUUAGUCAGCGCUAACAGGGUUGGUAAAUCUCGUGCCAGCCACCGCGGUUAUACGAGAAACCCAAGUUGAUAGCUGCCGGCGUAAAGAGUGGUUAAGGAAACCUCAGGCUAAAGUCGAACGGCCUCAAAGCUGUUAUAAGCUUAUGAAAGCACGAAGCCCAAUAACGAAAGUGACUUUAAACCCCUCUGACUCCACGAAAGCUGGGAUACAAACUGGGAUUAGAUACCCCACUAUGCCCAGCCCUAAACAGCGAUAGCCAACUACCUACACUAUCCGCCCGGGUACUACGAGCACCAGCUUAAAACCCAAAGGACUUGGCGGUGCUUUAGAUCCACCUAGAGGAGCCUGUUCUAGAACCGAUAAUCCCCGUUUAACCUCACCCCACCUUGUCUCUCCCGCCUAUAUACCGCCGUCGUCAGCUUACCCUCUGAGGGCCUAAUAGUAAGCAAAACUGGCACUGCCCAAAACGUCAGGUCGAGGUGUAGCGAAUGGAGGGGGAAGAAAUGGGCUACAUUCAAUACCCCUAUAAUGAAUACGAAUAAUAAACUGAAAAAUUUAUUUGAAGGAGGAUUUAGCAGUAAGUGAAAAACAGAGCGUUUUACUGAAUCUGGCCCUGAAGCGCGCACACACCGCCCGUCACUCUCCCCGAAUCUAAGAAGAAAAUAACUAAUAAACCAGCACUACAAAGGGGAGGUAAGUCGUAACAUGGUAAGUGUACCA